GUGGGGAAUAUUCCGCAAUGGGCGCAAGCCUGACGGAGCAACGCCGCGUGAAUGAAGACGGUCUUCGGAUUGUAAAGUUCUGUCAUUAGGGACGAAGGACUCAUGUAAAUAAUAUGAGGAAUGACGGUACCUAAGGAGGAAGCUCCGGCUAACUACGUGCCAGCAGCCGCGGUAAUACGUAGGGAGCAAGCGUUGUCCGGAAUUACUGGGCGUAAAGGGCGCGUAGGCGGAUAAUUAAGUCAGAUGUGAAAUCUCCAGGCUUAACUUGGAGCGUGCAUUUGAAACUGGUUAUCUUGAGGGCAGGAGAGGAAAGUGGAAUUCCUAGUGUAGCGGUGAAAUGCGUAGAUAUUAGGAGGAACACCAGUGGCGAAGGCGACUUUCUGGACUGAACCUGACGCUGAGGCGCGAAAGCAUGGGGAGCGAACGGGAUUAGAUACCCCUGUAGUCC
rnacentral:rRNA from 1 species